rnacentral:rRNA from 1 species
UACGUAGGGACCGAGCGUUGUCCGGAUUCAUUGGGCGUAAAGGGCGCGUAGGCGGUCAGCACAAGUCAGUUGUGAAAUCUCCGGGCUUAACUCGGAAAGGUCAACUGAUACUGUGCGACUAGAGUGCAGAAGGGGCAACUGGAAUUCUCGGUGUAGCGGUGAAAUGCGUAGAUAUCGGGAAGAACACCAAUGGCGAAGGCAGCUCUCUGGGACGGUACUGACGCUGAGACGCGAAAGCGUGGGGAGCGAACAGG